GAUGCAAACUGCGAAUACCGGAGAAUGUUAUCACGGGAGACACACGGCGGGUGCUAACGUCCGUCGUGAAGAGGGAAACAACCCAGACCGCCAGCUAAGGUCCCAAAGUCAUGGUUAAGUGGGAAACGAUGUGGGAAGGCCCAGACAGCCAGGAUGUUGGCUUAGAAGCAGCCAUCAUUUAAAGAAAGCGUAAUAGCUCACUGGUCGAGUCGGCCUGCGCGGAAGAUGUAACGGGGCUAAACCAUGCACCGAAGCUGCGGCAGCGACGCUUAUGCGUUGUUGGGUAGGGGAGCGUUCUGUAAGCCUGCGAAGGUGUGCUGUGAGGCAUGCUGGAGGUAUCAGAAGUGCGAAUGCUGACAUAAGUAACGAUAAAGCGGGUGAAAAGCCCGCUCGCCGGAAGACCAAGGGUUCCUGUCCAACGUUAAUCGGGGCAGGGUGAGUCGACCCCUAAGGCGAGGCCGAAAGGCGUAGUCGAUGGGAAACAGGUUAAUAUUCCUGUACUUGGUGUUACUGCGAAGGGGGGACGGAGAAGGCUAUGUUGGCCGGGCGACGGUUGUCCCGGUUUAAGCGUGUAGGCUGGUUUUCCAGGCAAAUCCGGAAAAUCAAGGCUGAGGCGUGAUGACGAGGCACUACGGUGCUGAAGCAACAAAUGCCCUGCUUCCAGGAAAAGCCUCUAAGCAUCAGGUAACAUCAAAUCGUACCCCAAACCGACACAGGUGGUCAGGUAGAGAAUACCAAGGCGCUUGAGAGAACUCGGGUGAAGGAACUAGGCAAAAUGGUGCCGUAACUUCGGGAGAAGGCACGCUGAUAUGUAGGUGAAGUCCCUUGCGGAUGGAGCUGAAAUCAGUCGAAGAUACCAGCUGGCUGCAACUGUUUAUUAAAAACACAGCACUGUGCAAACACGAAAGUGGACGUAUACGGUGUGACGCCUGCCCGGUGCCGGAAGGUUAAUUGAUGGGGUCAGCGCAAGCGAAGCUCUUGAUCGAAGCCCCGGUAAACGGCGGCCGUAACUAUAACGGUCCUAAGGUAGCGAAAUUCCUUGUCGGGUAAGUUCCGACCUGCACGAAUGGCGUAAUGAUGGCCAGGCUGUCUCCACCCGAGACUCAGUGAAAUUGAACUCGCUGUGAAGAUGCAGUGUACCCGCGGCAAGACGGAAAGACCCCGUGAACCUUUACUAUAGCUUGACACUGAACAUUGAGCCUUGAUGUGUAGGAUAGGUGGGAGGCUUUGAAGUGUGGACGCCAGUCUGCAUGGAGCCGGCCUUGAAAUACCACCCUUUAAUGUUUGAUGUUCUAACGUGGACCCGUGAUCCGGGUUGCGGACAGUGUCUGGUGGGUAGUUUGACUGGGGCGGUCUCCUCCUAAAGAGUAACGGAGGAGCACGAAGGUUGGCUAAUCCUGGUCGGACAUCAGGAGGUUAGUGCAAUGGCAUAAGCCAGCUUGACUGCGAGCGUGACGGCGCGAGCAGGUGCGAAAGCAGGUCAUAGUGAUCCGGUGGUUCUGAAUGGAAGGGCCAUCGCUCAACGGAUAAAAGGUACUCCGGGGAUAACAGGCUGAUACCGCCCAAGAGUUCAUAUCGACGGCGGUGUUUGGCACCUCGAUGUCGGCUCAUCACAUCCUGGGGCUGAAGUAGGUCCCAAGGGUAUGGCUGUUCGCCAUUUAAAGUGGUACGCGAGCUGGGUUUAGAACGUCGUGAGACAGUUCGGUCCCUAUCUGCCGUGGGCGCUGGAGAACUGAGGGGGGCUGCUCCUAGUACGAGAGGACCGGAGUGGACGCAUCACUGGUGUUCGGGUUGUCAUGCCAAUGGCACUGCCCGGUAGCUAAAUGCGGAAGAGAUAAGUGCUGAAAGCAUCUAAGCACGAAACUUGCCCCGAGAUGAGUUCUCCCUGACCCUUUAAGGGUCCUGAAGGAACGUUGAAGACGACGACGUUGAUAGGCCGGGUGUGUAAGCGCAGCGAUGCGUUGAGCUAACCGGUACUAAUGAACCGUGAGG
rnacentral:rRNA from 1 species